AUUGAACGCUGGCGGCAUGCCUUACACAUGCAAGUCGAACGGCAGCACGGGUGCUUGCACCUGGUGGCGAGUGGCGAACGGGUGAGUAAUACAUCGGAACGUACCUUAUCGUGGGGGAUAACGCAGCGAAAGCUGCGCUAAUACCGCAUACGCCCUGAGGGGGAAAGCGGGGGAUCGCAAGACCUCGCGCGAUUAGAGCGGCCGAUGCCUGAUUAGCUUGUUGGUGGGGUAAAAGCCCACCAAGGCGACGAUCAGUAGCUGGUCUGAGAGGACGAUAAGCCACACUGGGACUGGGACACGGCCCAGACUCCUACGGGAGGCAGCAGUGGGGAAUUUUGGACAAUGGGGGCAACCCUGAUCCAGCAAUGCCGCGUGAGUGAAGAAGGCCUUCGGGUUGUAAAGCUCUUUUGUCAGGGAAGAAACACCGGCUCUAACACAGUCUGGGAAUGACGGUACCUGAAGAAUAAGCACCGGCUAACUACGUGCCAGCCGCCGCCGUAA
rnacentral:rRNA from 1 species